rnacentral:miRNA from 1 species
GUCAAAGUUCCGGAUAUGAUGUCAUUAGGUGAAUUUUUGAUACAAAAAACAAAGGAAAAUAAUUCGCAUUUCACCUAAUGACAUCAUAUCCGGAAACUUUGAC